AUUGAACGCUGGCGGCAGGCUUAACACAUGCAAGUCGAGCGGGGUGAUGGUGCUUGCACUAUCACUUAGCGGCGGACGGGUGAGUAAUGCUUAGGAAUCUGCCUAUUAGUGGGGGACAACAUCUCGAAAGGGAUGCUAAUACCGCAUACGUCCUACGGGAGAAAGCAGGGGAUCACUUGUGACCUUGCGCUAAUAGAUGAGCCUAAGUCGGAUUAGCUAGUUGGUGGGGUAAAGGCCUACCAAGGCGACGACCUGUAGCGGGUCUGGGAGGAUGAUCCGCCACACUGGGACUGCGACACGGCCCAGACUCCUACGGGAGGAAGCAGUGGGGAAUAUUGGACAAUGGGGGGAACCCUGAUCCAGCCAUGCCGCGUGUGUGAAGAAGGCCUUAUGGUUGUAAAGCACUUUAAGCGAGGAGGAGGCUCUUUUGGUUAAUACCCAAGAUGAGUGGACGUUACUCGCAGAAUAAGCACCGGCUAACUCUGUGCCAGCCGCCGCCGUAA
rnacentral:rRNA from 1 species